AGUGAACGCUGGCGGUAGGCCUAACACAUGCAAGUCGAACGGCAGCACAGUAAGAGCUUGCUCUUACGGGUGGCGAGUGGCGGACGGGGUGAGGAAUACAUCGGAAUCUACUUUUUCGUGGGGGAUAACGUAGGGAAACUUACGCUAAUACCGCAUACGACCUACGGGUGAACGCAGGGGAUCUUCGGACCUUGCGCGAUUGAAUGAGCCGAUGUCGGAUUAGCUAGUUGGCGGGGUAAAGGCCCACCAAGGCGACGAUCCGUAGCUGGUCUGAGAGGAUGAUCAGCCACACUGGAACUGAGACACGGUCCAGACUCCUACGGGAGGCAGCAGUGGGGAAUAUUGGACAAUGGGCGCAAGCCUGAUCCAGCCAUACCGCGUGGGUGAAGAAGGCCUUCGGGUUGUAAAGCCCUUUUGUUGGGAAAGAAAAGCAGCAGGUUAAUACCCCGCUGUUCUGGCGGUACCCAAAGAAUAAGCACCGGCUAACUUCGUG
rnacentral:rRNA from 1 species